rnacentral:misc_RNA from 1 species
AAGUACCCGUGGGGAAAGUUGAAAAAGAACUUUGAAGAGAGAGUUCAAGAGGACGUGAAAUCACCCGGAAUGAAGCGGAUAGAGUUGACGAGACUUGCAGCAUUCAAGACUGACGCAGCUGUGAUAUAAGCAGGUAGUUUCAAUACUGCCAUCAGUCUUAUUACCUCCAGCUUCCAGAUCUGCAUUUGCCGUAGGUAUACGCUGAGGCGAUUGGAAACCCCUUCCCUAGAUAGUCGUGUGGCCCUUUCGAGGUGUCCUGUGACUUUCGACGGUUGAUGUGAUCCCAAUUUUGAAGUUGGGCGCUCUGCUUUUGCGCGGUGUGCGUCGUUCGGUUCUAGCCGGUUGGGCGGUGGCGUGCCACUUGUCCUUCUAGCUGGUGCCAGCGGCGUUCGUCGCUGAGAGUGCCCUCUCGGUGUGAAAGUCGACCACCUAUCCGACCCGUCUUGAAACACGGACCAAGAAGUCUAGUAAUAGCGCAAGUCAUUGAGUGGAAAACUCAUAUGGCGAAAUGAAAGUGAAGACCGGCUUGUUCGGUUGAUAUGUGAUCUGAGAGCCUCGGCUUUCGGCGCAACAUAGCCCCAUGCCAGCUGCUUGCAGCGGUGUGGAGGUAGAGCGUUAUUACUGGGACCCGAAAGAUGGUGAACUAUGCUUGAGCAGGAUGAAGUCAGAGGAAACUCUGAUGGAGGUCCGCAGCGGUUCUGACGUGCAAAUCGAUCGUCGGACUCGAGUAUAGGGGCGAAAGACUAAAUCGAACCAUCUAGUAGCUGGUUCCCUUCCG